rnacentral:lncRNA from 1 species
AUGCAGGCUCUCAAGGGCCUGUGGUCUCCUCUCGGCCAUCGAGUGGCACCUUUGCCCCUUCCCAGCUCGGGGGCACCUGGGGCUCAGCCCCAUCCUUCCCGCCUCCCCUCCGAGGAAGAGGGGCUGCAGAUGCAUCCCACACGGCGACCCUGGCCUCCUGCUGGAGGAAGGACUCCCGCGGGUGAGAGCUGUGGCCAGUGGAGACGGCCCGUGGGGCGUUCACAGCCAGUGAGCAGUGUUCCUUCUUCCGCCAUUCUCCUUAUGGACGGAAGUCGUCCCUCCUGGAAGGAAGCACAGCAUUCUUUACUCGGCUGCACAGUGGAGCCUCCUCAUUCCGGGGUGAGAGGCAGGCAUGGCAGCUGCCGGGCCCGUUAUUCUGCCAGGAUGCAGGCCCUGGGUCGCGGCCCUGUCCUCUGCUCUCUGACAGACCCAGCAGAAGCCGGGCCAGAGGGAUUCUCCGGCCUUGCCGUCCUCCACUUCGGGGUGCACGCCCACGAUGGCUCCUGGGGAACAGGCCGCGGCCCCUGCCCGUGAGAGUAGCGGUGAGACCCUGCCAAGGAGGAAGGAAUCAGAGAGUCACCCUCAGGUCACAGUUCCUUGGCCCAAGCGGCGGGGGCCCCCGAUGGGCCUGUUCAGUGGAGGGGCCAGGGACGCCCUCUGGACUCAGCCGGAGGAGGCAGCCCCAGGUCAGGGCAAGUCCUGGCCACUCCUGUGGUGCAGCAGCGACUGCGUCACUGGCACUCAGCUUCGCCAGCACCAGGUUUCUGGCUGCAGCUGAGCCGGUACAGGCCUCCGGGAGCGUCCAGGGACGUGCUGCAGAGGACUCCGCUGUGGCAGAAGGGGACACAGAAGUGACCGCUCUGAGUAAAAGGAAAGGCAUGUGGCAAUUUGUGUGUUUCUAGCAGCCACUGGGUGGAAGGAGGCAGGUUCUUAUGGAGGGCAACGCUCUCCUUGCCGAAGAGGCAGACGGAUGGCGAGGGAAACACAGGGCCCCUGGGCGCUGGCUCUGAGAGGCAGAGUGGAGGCCCAGAGGGGUGCAGGGACAGUGCACCCAUCGUGGGCAAGACACCAAGGCGGCUGGUGCUGCCGGAGUCAGAGUCAUUGCAGGGAACACUGGCCAGGGAUAGUUGUCCUUGAGGGGUUGAAAGGACAACCUGACUCAGGACACUUCCUCCCCGGCGUCCUCCUGAGACUGACUGCUCCUCUGGGGACCUGCUGACCCCAGGGCCUGUGCCCCUAGCCCCAGUGUGUCCUUCAGAGCUGACCUCUGGGGCUCCCUUCCCCACUCCACUGACGGCAUCUGUAGGACCACCAGCAGCUCGAGCACUGGCACGCAGGGUCUCUGGGCGACGGAGUGACCCCAGAGGCACUGCCAGGGACUCCACCCCCAGCUCUGCUCACUCCUCCCCCUGGUGUGGGUCGGGCGGCCCCAAGGGAUGUCUGCACCUGGCCUUGUGUCUCAGUCACUUUCUUCCUCACUGGGAAAAAGCACCUGACACCUGCAAUCUAAAGGAACCGAGGUUUGUUUUGGCUCCCGGUUUGCAGAGGUUUCAGGCCACAGUGUGCCAGCUCCGAGGCAGGCAGCAUGGAGGAGGCCUGGCAGAGGAGAGCUGCUCAGGGCAUGGUGGAUGGAAGUGGAGAGAAGAGAGCAAGGAAGGGAGAUACAGGGUAAGGCUCCGGGUCACUGACCACCUCUUCUGACCAGGCCUCGCCUCCUCAGGGCACAUCCGCUGCAAGCCCUGUAAAUCAUUCACCUUCUGAACACCCUACCUGGAGUGCAGGAGGCCCUUGGGGGACAUUCUUGAUCUAAAGCACAACACCCGGCCCGAGACCUGGUAGCAAAGCAAAAGUGUAGCUGCUCUUUAGUUUCUGCCCAUCUUGGCCCUGGAGUAUUUGAGUGCAGACACGGAAUCUGGGUUACCUGGGUGCUUAAUUUAUAAGGCCAGAGCUCCAUGUCAGGGCAGA